rnacentral:lncRNA from 1 species
UGGCAGGUCACCAUUGUAGCCUGAGUUACACAGGAUUUGAACCUCACAUCGGUGCCCUGUCCUCACUAACCAGAUGCCGCCGCACACAGCACCAUCCUAGGGGCAGAGUGGCAUCUUAGACUUCCAGCAUAAACAGAGAUAUGUCCUGGUUUAGGCUUUGCUCCUUAAUCCUAGGCUGAGGAAAAGAACCAUGUGUCCAAAAAGUAGAAAACUUUAUUAUUUUUUACUUUACUACAUUUUUAUUUUUGCUGUUUUCCUCCUUCUAUUCAUCCCCCUCCCCAUUUCUACUCUAUUUUAUUUUUUUGUGUGUUUGUGUGUGUGUGUGUGUGUGUAUGUCUUCCCUCACUUUUUUUUUAUUUUAAAAAUAAAAGGAGGAAAAC